rnacentral:rRNA from 1 species
CUCCGGGAAACCGGGGCUAAUACCGGAUGGUUGUUUGAACCGCAUGGUUCAGACAUAAAAGGUGGCUUCGGCUACCACUUACAGAUGGACCCGCGGCGCAUUAGCUAGUUGGUGAGGUAACGGCUCACCAAGGCGACGAUGCGUAGCCGACCUGAGAGGGUGAUCGGCCACACUGGGACUGAGACACGGCCCAGACUCCUACGGGAGGCAGCAGUAGGGAAUCUUCCGCAAUGGACGAAAGUCUGACGGAGCAACGCCGCGUGAGUGAUGAAGGUUUUCGGAUCGUAAAGCUCUGUUGUUAGGGAAGAACAAGUGCCGUUCAAAUAGGGCGGCACCUUGACGGUACCUAACCAGAAAGCCACGGCUAACUACGUGCCAGCAGCCGCGGUAAUACGUAGGUGGCAAGCGUUGUCCGGAAUUAUUGGGCGUAAAGGGCUCGCAGGCGGUUUCUUAAGUCUGAUGUGAAAGCCCCCGGCUCAACCGGGGAGGGUCAUUGGAAACUGGGGAACUUGAGUGCAGAAGAGGAGAGUGGAAUUCCACGUGUAGCGGUGAAAUGCGUAGAGAUGUGGAGGAACACCCAGUGGCG